AACAGAAAGAAUGACUUACUGGGGAACUAAGUUAGAAGAGGAAAGAAGUGAAGAUUGGUCUUCUAUGCAGAGGAAAUGACAAGGUUUCAUCUCGCCUGGAUGCCGACCUCACCCUGAUUUCUGGGCAUUAGGAUCUGGUAAUCGUCAUUUCUGCCAUGGAGAGCUCAGAAAUGCAGCCCAGCGUGAGUUCCUGCUGCUGCUGCUGCUGCUCUCGCAGCCGUCCGUGUCACGCCUGGCAGCCAUCUUAGACCUGGGCAGAAAGCCCAGCGGGGCAAACACAACAACUUGGCUGGGAAGUCCCCAUAUCAAUUAUGCUGAAAGCAGUGGCGGAACACGUCACUUACCCUGAGAAGUGGCUUACCGCCUUUGGGGUGAGAUCUGCUUUAUAGCGAAACAUCGCUUUAGUUUGUCUGUGUGUGGCUGAUGUAUGUAUCAUUUAUUGUUUUCUUUAGUUAACGGUUAACAAAAAGUAAGUUAGCUGAUCAAGUUAGGGUAUUUGCUUUAAAAGUUUGCUUAUUAAAGCAGUAUUUAUAUUAUUCUAUGAACUGGUAUCUCAGUUAUUUCCACUUCCUUAGAUCUGCCCUGAAUGGGGAGUGUUGUGAUCCAUCAAACCAGGUGGUGGGGAAUAACAACCCCCUCAAACUCUACCAUAAGCGUGAGGUUAGAGUGGAUUGUACUAUAGUGGCAAUUUUGUUAGUCAUGUGAACCAAAGCCUGUGUAGUACGGUAGGGCGUGUUUAGUUUAGCCAUUGAUUCAGAGUUUAGCCAUUGAUUCAGGAUAUGUUCAAGGAGUAGCAGCGUAUUGUUUAAGUAGGCCAUAACAUUUCCUCACAGUCUGGACAAAUUCUUUUUUCAGUCUUACAGAUUUACCCGUGCAGAACUUGGGAAGUUCAGUUAGAGAAACUCAGCUCUUCCCCAUUAGGAUAACAGGAAUAUCUAGAAGCAUGUUAAACAAUCCCUCUAAGUCAGCAUCCACUCUCUAAGUCGUAGCGAUGACUUUCUUGAAGUGACAAAACUGGUUUGAUAAGGUGCAGUCAUGUCAGAGCUGGAAGUACAAAAGUGCAUUUAUUAAAAAUUCAUGCUGUAUCCUCUUUCCCCUUGUGUAUCUUGUCACUGACAUGACUUCACAAGUUGCAAAUCUA